CCAUGCCGUAAACGUUGGGCGCUAGAUGUGGGGACCUUUCCACGGUUUCUGUGUCGUAGCUAACGCAUUAAGCGCCCCGCCUGGGGAGUACGGCCGCAAGGCUAAAACUCAAAGGAAUUGACGGGGGCCCGCACAAGCGGCGGAGCAUGCGGAUUAAUUCGAUGCAACGCGAAGAACCUUACCAAGGCUUGACAUAUAUCGGAAUCGGCUAGAGAUAGUCGCGCCCUUUGGGUCGGUAUACAGGUGGUGCAUGGUUGU
rnacentral:rRNA from 1 species